CUCGUAGGCGGUUCGUCGCGUCCGGUGUGAAAGUCCAUCGCUUAACGGUGGAUCCGCGCCGGGUACGGGCGGGCUUGAGUGCGGUAGGGGAGACUGGAAUUCCCGGUGUAACGGUGGAAUGUGUAGAUAUCGGGAAGAACACCAAUGGCGAAGGCAGGUCUCUGGGCCCGUCACUGACGCUGAGGAGCGAAAGCGUGGGGAGCGAACA
rnacentral:rRNA from 1 species